rnacentral:rRNA from 1 species
GAUGAACGCUGGCGGCGUGCCUAAUACAUGCAAGUCGAGCGAACAGACGAGGAGCUUGCUCCUCUGACGUUAGCGGCGGACGGGUGAGUAACACGUGGAUAACCUACCUAUAAGACUGGGAUAACCUCGGGAAACCGGAGCUAAUACCGGAUAAUAUAUUGAACCGCCUGGUUCAAUAGUGAAAGACGGUUUUGCUGUCACUUAUAGCUGGAUCCGCGCCGCAUUAGCUAGUUGGUAAGGUAACGGCUUGCCAAGGCGACGAUGCGUAGCCGACCUGAGAGGGUGAUCGGCCACACGGGAACGUAGACACGGUCCAGACUCCUACGGGAGGCAGCAGUAGGCAAUCUUCCGCAAUGGGCGAAAGCCUGACGGAGCAACGCCGCGUGAGUGAUGAAGGUCUUCGGAUCGUAAAACUCUGUUAUUAGGGAAGAACAAAUGUGUAAGUAACUAUGCACGUCUUGACGGUACCUACUCAGAAAGCCACGGCUAACUACGUG